UACGUAGGCAGCGAGCGUUGUUCGGAGUUACUGGGCGUAAAGAGUGCGUAGGCGGUUUUCUAAGUUUAGUGUGAAAUCUCCCGGCUUAACUGGGAGGGUGCGCCGAAGACUGGAAGGCUUGAGUAUGGGAGAGGUAAGCGGAAUUCCUGGUGUAGCGGUGAAAUGCGUAGAUAUCAGGAGGAACACCUGCGGUGUAGACGGCUUACUGGACCAUCACUGACGCUGAGGCACGAAAGCGUGGGUAGCAAACAGG
rnacentral:rRNA from 1 species